rnacentral:rRNA from 1 species
AGAGUUUGAUCCUGGCUCAGAACGAACGCUGGCGGCAUGCCUAACACAUGCAAGUCGAACGCGUGUAGCAAUACACGAGUGGCGCACGGGUGAGUAACGCGUGGGAACCUGCCCUGGAGUGGGGGAUAACCCGGCGAAAGCCGGGCUAAUACCGCAUACGACCUAAGGGUGAAAGAUUUAUCGCUCUGGGAGGGGCCCGCGUCGGAUUAGCUAGUUGGUGAGGUAACGGCUCACCAAGGCGAUGAUCCGUAGCUGGUCUGAGAGGAUGAUCAGCCACACUGGGACUGAGACACGGCCCAGACUCCUACGGGAGGCAGCAGUGGGGAAUAUUGGACAAUGGGGGCAACCCUGAUCCAGCAAUGCCGCGUGAGUGAUGAAGGCCUUAGGGUUGUAAAGCUCUUUCGGCGGGGACGAUGAUGACGGUACCCGCAGAAGAAGCCCCGGCUAACUUCGUGCCAGCAGCCGCGGUAAUACGAAGGGGGCGAGCGUUGUUCGGAAUUACUGGGCGUAAAGGGCGCGCAGGCGGCCUUAGAAGUCAGAUGUGAAAGCCCCGGGCUCAACCUGGGAAUAGCAUUUGAUACUCUGAGGCUGGAGUGCGGGAGAGGAGAGUGGAAUUCCCAGUGUAGAGGUGAAAUUCGUAGAUAUUGGGAAGAACACCGGUGGCGAAGGCGGCUCUCUGGACCGUAACUGACGCUGAGGCGCGAAAGCGUGGGGAGCAAACAGGAUUAGAUACCCCAGUAGUCC